rnacentral:rRNA from 1 species
AAUUAUUUUUUUGUUUUAGUGGCGGACGGGUGAGUAACGCGUAAGAAUCUACCUUUAGGAGGGGGAAAACAACUGGAAACGGUUGCUAACACCCCAUAUGCUGAGGAGUAAAAUACAUUGUGCCUAGAGAUGAGCUUGCGUCUGAUUAGUUAGUUGGUAAGGUAAUUGCUUCCCAAGACUAUGAUCAGUAGCUGGUCUGAGAGGAUGAUCAGCCACACUGGGACUGAGACACGGCCCAGACUCCUACGGGAGGCAGCAGUGAGGAAUUUUCCGCAAUGGGCGAAAGCCUGACGGAGCAAUGCCGCGUGGAGGAUGAAAGCCUAUGGGUUGUAAACUCCUUUUCUCAGAGAAGAAAUUUUGACGGUAUCUGAGGAAUAAGCAUCGGCUAACUCCGUGCCAGCAGCCGCGGUAAUACGGGGGAUGCAAGUGUUAUCCGGAAUAAUUGGGCGUAAAGCGUCUGUAGGUGGUUGACCAAGUCUGUUGUUAAAAAUCAGGGCUUAACCCUGAUCCGGCAACAGAAACUAGUAAACUUGAGUACGGUAGGGGCAGAGGGAAUUUUCGGUGUAGUGGUGAAAUACGUAGAUAUCGAGAAGAACACCAAUAGCGAAAGCACUCUGCUGGGCCGAAACUGACAUUGAGAGACGAAAGCUAGGGGAGCAAAAGGGAUUAGA